GGGGUCUGGGGGGGUAAGAUGUACGCAGUCCAUACCUCUACCUCUGAUGAAGUAGAAAGGUUGUUUCCGAAAGACCCCCGGCUCAAGGCACGAGAUACCACACAAACACAUAGUAAAGCACAGAAGCAGAUUACAUAACAUAAAUACGGCACCCAUAAGUAAUAUAAAACAGAGGGAAGCAGAGGAAAGCACACAGAUUCGUAAUAAAAUAUGUAACACGGAACACGGAAUCAUAACAGGAAUAAAACCCCCACCAAGUAAUCCCUACACUAGCGACCCAAACUGGCCCUAAUCCUCUGCCGUAAUUCGCGUCUUCCAGACCUUCCUAUCUAGGGUCAUGUCCUUGGUGAGCUGUAACUGUUCCAUGUCCCGCCUAAUCACCUCACCCCAGUACUUCUUCGGUCUACCCCUACCCCGUCUAAAACCAUCCAACGCUAGCCUCUCACACCUACGGACCGGGGCAUCCAUGCCCCUCCUCUUCACGUGUCCGAACCAUCUCAAUCGUGCUUCCCGCAUCUUACACUCCACUGAAGUCACACCAACCUUCUCCCGGAUAGUCUCAUUCCGAACUCUAUCCCCUCG
rnacentral:lncRNA from 1 species